rnacentral:rRNA from 1 species
ACGGCGAGUGAAGCGGGAAGAGCUCAAAUUUGAAAUCUGGUGGCCUCAGGUCAUCCGAGUUGUAAUCUAUAGAAGUGUUUUCCGUGCUGGCUCAUGUACAAGUCCCUUGGAACAGGGCGUCAUAGAGGGUGAGAAUCCCGUCCUUGACAUGAACUACCAGUGCUCUGUGAUACAUUUUCAACGAGUCGAGUUGUUUGGGAAUGCAGCUCAAAAUGGGUGGUAAAUUCCAUCUAAAGCUAAAUAUUGGCGAGAGACCGAUAGCGAACAAGUACCGUGAGGGAAAGAUGAAAAGCACUUUGGAAAGAGAGUUAAACAGUAUGUGAAAUUGUUGAAAGGGAAACGAUUGAAGUCAGUCGUGCUCUUUGGAUUCAGCCGGUUCUGCCGGUGUACUUCCUUUGAGUGGGGUCAACAUCAGUUUUGAUCGCUGGAUAAAGGCUGGAGGAACGUAGUACCCUCGGGUAAACUUAUAGCCUCCUGUCACAUACAGUGGUUGGGACUGAGGAACGCAGCACGCCUUUAUGGCCGGGAUUCGUCCACGUACGUGCUUAGGAUGUUGACAUAAUGGCUUUAAACGACCCGUCUUGAACAACGGACCA